rnacentral:rRNA from 1 species
UACAGAGGGGGCGAGCGUUGUUCGGAAUUACUGGGCGUAAAGGGCGCGUAGGCGGCCUUCUAAGUCGAACGUGAAAUCUCCGGGCUCAACCCGGAAACUGCCAUUGAUACUAUUAGUCUUGAAUUUUGUUGAGGUAGGCGGAAUAAGUCAUGUAGCGGUGAAAUGCAUAGAUAUGACUUAGAACACCAAUGGCGAAGGCAGCUUACUAAGCAAAUACUGACGCUGAGGCACGAAAGCGUGGGGAUCAAACAGG